rnacentral:rRNA from 1 species
AUUGAACGCUGGCGGCAGGCCUAACACAUGCAAGUCGAACGAGUGGCGGACGGGUGAGGAAUGUAUGGGAAACUGCCUGAUGGAGGGGGAUAACUACUGGAAACGGUAGCUAAUACCGCAUACCAUCAGAUGUGCCCAGAUGGGAUUAGCGUGUUGGUGGGGUAACGGCUCACCAAGGCGACGAUCCCUAGCUGGUCUGAGAGGAUGAACAGCCACACGGGAACUGAGACACGGUCCAGCCUCCUACGGGAGGCAGCAGGGGGGAAUAUGGCACAAUGGGCGCAAGCCUGAUGCAGCCAUGCCGCGGGUAUGAAGAAGGCCUUCGGGUUGUAAAGUACUUUCAGCGGGGAGGCGUUACCGGGAGAAGAAGCACCGGCUAACUCCGUGCCAGCCGCCGCGGUAAUAC